UAUUAUAUUUUAGGAUAAUAUAAUGUUCUCUAGUGGACAUAAACAAAUUAUGACAUAAAAACCUUAUUUUUUCCAUCAAACACAUUCUUGAAAAAAGUGAACAGUAUUGUUUCCACAUUUUAUCUUCCAUAUGGUUUUGAAAGCUUUCAAAUCAACCAUCGAAUUGAUACAUGUCAUUUUAAUGUUUUUAGUCGUAUACUUAAGGAAAACUUACAUUUUUGUAAUUUAAGUCGUUUUAAAAAAAUUCAAAAUAUAACAUAUA
rnacentral:lncRNA from 1 species